AUGUUCAAAGUAAUUAAACAGAUUAAGUAGUGUAUACUCAAAGUCUUUAAAAAGUUCUGUUAACUUAAAUAUGUCAAGUUCGUAUAACAUGUUCUUCUUUUUGAGUAAAUGAAACUAAUAAUAUUUGAUUGAAUUGAACUAUUUCUAUAUUAAGUAAGCAUCACUUAAAAUAAUAACUUAAGCACAACGUAACACAGUUAAGUUAGGACAUAUAAGAAUGGUAAAGUCCUGUUAUUUUUGUUGUUUCAAGUAGGUAGGAUUUAAUAAUAAACUUAAUUUAUGUAGCACAUGCUAAAAUACAAUAAAAUCUCAAAGUGUUUCACCAAAUAAGUAAAAUCAAAUUGUCUUAAAUGCAUUAGUGGAAGACAAAAUGUAUUUAUUUUAAUAUUCAUUGUUUUAUCACUGUGUCCUACAUAUAUAUUUUUAAUUUUUUCCGUAAGUGUUGAGCAGCUGCAGGAAUCAAUUUUUAUUCCGAGUUAAUCUCUGAUUCACCCUCCGAAGCGGAAGGCGGCGCUAAUGAGCAUUAAUACGAAACACAGAAGAAGUAAAGGUAUAUGGGCGGGAACAGCACCAAAGAGGCAACACGGACGACUGGAGAAAGUUGGACCUAAUGGCAGCAACUAGCAUCACUGGACUUACAGUAAGUUUUCAAUGUUGAUAUUAGUUUAUUGUUAAAAUACGAAUAUUUAGUUGUAUUUUGGGUGCGUGUCGAAAAGAAUAGCAGAAAUGUCGGUCCGUGUUUUUUAUGUGCUUUGCUGCUCUCCCCGAAGGAAACUUUGCGCUUGCAGAGCUAGCAUUAAGUUGUUGUAAUGACGGUCGCAGGCUGUUUAAAAAGUUAGAUACUACUUGCUCUAGAGGUGGCGCCCGGUCGCCUAGUAUGAAACAAAGUAUUUUAAUCUCUCUAAAUUUUUAAACCCCCUCUCAUGACUCAGAAUAGUUGGGUCCAAACAAGCCCGUUGUCCCUGCAGUUACACAACGGAGAUGCCUGUCUGCAGUGAGAGUGCUUUCAAGCAGUUUUCUUGUUAGAAACGCUAUAUUUUAAACUAUAUGUGUAGGGUUAGGGUUGUGAAGGAGCUCUCGGACCUCUGGCCUGCUCUAAAAAUGGAGUCUGAGUUGUAUGCAGAGUUUCAGCGGAUUACAAAUCAGAACCUGCCCAAUACAUUCUACGCUGAACUUGACCGCCAUCUUCCUCGACUGAUGACCUUAUUCAGCCAGGGCAUCAAAAACUGGGAAGACAGCAGAUGCCCUGGUUGAAAUUCUAAGAAUUCACAAUGAACAGGAAAUCCAUGAUAUCCACACCAAGCGCACUACCGUUCUCCCUGCCCUUCCUGUCUAUCUGCAUGAGGAUGUCUCUGGAUUUUUCAGAACCUGCACUGACGAAUCUGAUGAGUUGGAGCUUGAUGGUGUUGAAGUGGCCCUCUUCACUGUCAUCAGUGACCAUCACACAACAAGUCCAGUUCACUACCAACCUGUGAAAAUCUCUGUCGUCAUUGAAAGUGAUGCCGUGUUCAGUCUCCCCAGAUUUGGUGAAGCCUUCCUAGUAAUGUUUGGACUGAUCUAUGCACUUCCCCUCAGCUACCCCAAAGGCCUGACCAACACUUUAGAAUUUACUCAAAAGAUUUUAUUUGGUCUAGAAAGUGGUAAACUGUCACCCAGGUUACAGACCCUCAAGAAUGACUUGGUUAUGUAGGAACUCAUCUGAAAGAAGGAUGCAGGGUGAAGCAUUAUAAAAGGCUAGUUCAAAGUUCUCUCCUUUCAUCUAAAUAAUGCCUCAAAACAUUAUUAGAUUACUCUACAGGUGUUCAGCCAAUAGGUCCAAACUAUACAACGUGCCUUUGUUCUCAUUAACAUAAUGCAAAGCAACACUAAUGUUUUGUAUGUUUUAAUGUUUUUCGUAAUACUAUUUCCAAAACAUUGUGGGCUGCGCAAGAUGACCUAAAUUUCACUGUUUGAUACUGGUUAAUGUAAAACAAAUAGCAUUGUAAUUCACUCAAAUUGCUGCCUUGUUGUCUUAUUCAGAUAUUAGCCAGAGAGCCAAAAGCACAUUUUGAUAUUAUUAAUUAUUAUUUUUCAUUACUCUGACAGUUUUCCUGACUAAACAAUUUUUGGUCUACUUAUUUUAAUUUAUAA